GACGAACGCUGGCGGCGUGCCUAAUACAUGCAAGUAGAACGCUGAAGGAGGAGCUUGCUUCUCUGGAUGAGUUGCGAACGGGUGAGUAACGCGUAGGUAACCUGCCUGGUAGCGGGGGAUAACUAUUGGAAACGAUAGCUAAUACCGCAUAAGAACAGUUGUUGCAUGACAGCUGUUUAAAAGGUGCAAUUGCAUCACUACCAGAUGGACCUGCGUUAUAUUAGCUAGUUGGUGGGGUAACGGCUCACCAAGGCAACGAUACAUAGCCGACCUGAGAGGGUGAUCGGCCACACUGGGACUGAGACACGGCCCAGACUCCUACGGGAGGCAGCAGUAGGGAAUCUUCGGCAAUGGACGGAAGUCUGACCGAGCAACGCCGCGUGAGUGAAGAAGGUUUUCGGAUCGUAAAGCUCUGUUGUAAGAGAAGAACGAGUGUGAGAGUGGAAAGUUCACACU
rnacentral:rRNA from 1 species